rnacentral:tRNA from 1 species
UGGGGCAUAGCCAAGCGGUAAGGCAACAGACUUUGACUCUGUCACUCCGUGGGUUCAAAUCCCGCUGCCCCAA